AGCGGCAUGGCCAAGCGGUAAGGCAAGGGACUGCAAAUCCUUCAUCCCCAGUUCAAAUCUGGGUGUCGC
rnacentral:tRNA from 1 species